rnacentral:rRNA from 1 species
CUUGGUCAUUUAGAGGAAGUAAAAGUCGUAACAAGGUCUCCGUUGGUGAACCAGCGGAGGGAUCAUUACAGAGUUGCAAAACUCCCAACCAUUGUGAACCUACCUCACCGUUGCUUCGGCGGGUGGCCCGGGGAAACCCAGGCCGCGCCGGUUCCCCUUCAGGGCCGGUAACCCGCCAGAAGCCCGAAACUCUUCGUCAUUAUAGGCCUCUCUGAGUAACUUAUACAAUAAGUCAAAACUUUCAACAACGGAUCUCUUGGUUCUGGCAUCGAUGAAGAACGCAGCGAAAUGCGAUACGUAAUGUGAAUUGCAGAUUACAGUGAAUCAUCGAAUCUUUGAACGCACAUUGCGCCCGCUAGUAUUCUGGCGGGCAUGCCUGUUCGAGCGUCAUUUCAACCAUCAAGCGCUGCGCUUGUGUUGGAGCCCUGCGGCUGCCGCAAGCUCCCAAACCCAGUGGCGGGCUCGUCGUCGUACCGAGUGCAGUAAAUUUACCACGCUCAGGGCACGCGACGGGUAACCGGCCGUAAAACCCCCCCUUCUUAAGGUUGACCUCGGAUCAGGUAGGAAUACCCGCUGAACUUAAGCAUAUCAAUAAGCGGAGGA